rnacentral:sRNA from 1 species
UCGUAUGAUUUGGUGCUUCGUUGAGAU